rnacentral:rRNA from 1 species
AUAGUAAAUUCAGGAACAAU